GUGCAGAAGAUGGAGGCCUGGCCUGUGAGGGUUCAGAGGGAAGCGAAGACUCCUCUGGGCUUUUGUGGGAAGAAUCUGUGUUGCCUGAGCAGCUGCUGCGGAAGAAUUGGCUGUAAUUAACAAGAGACCAUGAACACUAAAGUAAAACCCUUGCUUUGCUUAGACAAUGGAUGCUGGGUAGCUGGAGCUGAAGAACCAGCUUUGAUUAAGAAGAAACCAGCAUUAAUCAGAAAAUCAUUCAAGUGUUGCAGUCCCACAUAUUGGAAAGCUUAAUUACAGCAUGGACGGAGAAGAGCCAAAGCAGCUAGAAGGGAGGACGCGUCUCCUCAUUCUCCACAGACAGAAUCUGUCCAAGAACCCAGGCAGGUCGUCACAUCUGUCUGUCUGCCAGAAGCUACGUUCAUUACACAACCGAGAGCCACCCUGGGGGAAGCCUCACACAGGCUCAUUUCCAACCCUUGUACUUGCUCAGCCUCAUUUCAGAACCCAGCAGAUCAUCUCAAAAUCUCCCUCAGUGCCCCGAAAAUAUGCAUACAAUUCAGUCACAGUAGACAUCAAGUCACAGCAAGACAUAGCUCACAUUGGGAUCCUACACCUGCGGGAAACACUUCCAUAUUGAAAUAAGCCCCAGAAUCAGAUCAGCCAGAAGUCUCAAGAAAAAAAGACUCAUCAUGUAUGGACAGAUAGAAAAAUGGCAGCUGUGAUGAACGUAUUGUAUGACAAGAGAACUGGCUUUGUUUUUGAAUCAGAAGAGAGAUCCCAUCAUUCCCAAGACACCUACAGCAUCAGAGACUACACACCAUAAAGUAUUCACUUUACUUCCAUUUUUCUCCUUCAGUGUACGUGAUCUGGCUUGCUUUAUUGUUUUGCAUAUUGAAUGUCUUGGUGCUAGAACAAAUUUCACCCUCUCUUAAUGUACUCAUGAUGAUGUUACUGUAUGUCCAUGUUCUUCUUGUUGCAAAUGAAGAACUGAACAAAAUGUGGAAAUGCAGCACCAAAAGUAAAAACAAAGAUUUGUUAAAAGGGAAAGUAAGACAUUCACCCAACAGCAGGAAUGGAACCAAGUAAGCAGGUGGCACUUGAGUCCGCUCAUUUCAGAUCCAGGAGCUUUAAAUUGUAAGGGAGGGGAGAGGUGUUCCCUGAGCAUGCCCUGUUACUUUUACUUCGCAUGAACCAUCUCCCAGUCCUCUCUGUAAUGAUCGUUUGUAUGAGAUAAAGUCCCUAUGUGUCUCCCUUGAGUGGUUCAUGCUGUCCCAAAGGCAUGAGAUAAACUUCCCUUGAUGUGCAAGCAUGUCACUAGAUCAUCUCUUGCUUCCAAUCGUGAUCAGAUAUUGUCCUGUUAGGCAUGGAGGGUUCAUAGGAAACAAACUCUAUUCUGGAGAAUAGUCUUUUAAUGGUUAGGUCUCUUCUAUGACUCACAAGCAUGGAUGCUAACUUCCUGCCUCAAUGGCUUCUUAAAAAGAAAAUAAAUUCAGAAUCUGGGGAGUGUGUGAGCUUGCAAAAACAGUGGUGUUUAUAUCAUUCAUUCUGAACCAGUAGGCCGUCCAUUCAUUUUUAUUCCAUUUAUCCUUCAGAAACAUGUCUGUUCAUGUGUCCAACCAUUCAUUCGUGCAUCAGAAACAUGUCUGUUCAUGUGUCCAACCAUUCAUUCGUGCAUUCACACCCCCGUUUAUUGAGUGUAUCGCAUUUUCUUGAGAGACUGGUCUGGUCAUGUUCUUGUUCUUUUUUCAACUUGGCACAAGCUUGAGUUAUCUGGAACAAAGACCUCAGUUUAGAAAAGGUGCCUACCAGACUGGUCUGUACUGAAUUUCUUAAUGACCGACAUGGCUGAACCCAGUUUACUGUGGGCUGUACCAUCCCUAAGCAGGUGGUCCUGAGCUGUAUAACAAAGCGGGCUGAGCAAGCCAUGAAGAGCAAGUCAGUAAGCAGCACUGUUCCAAGGACUGUGCAUCAAGUCCUGCCUACAUGUACCUUCCCUGACUGAGUUUCUAUCCUGACCUAUUUCAGCCUAGUGUGGAAGUGUAUGCCAAA